ensembl:lncRNA
GAUGCCCCCGCUUUGUGCUUGGCACCGAGGACAGAGAGAGAAAUUAGACCGUUCCUGCCCCGGAGAAGUGGCUUGUCUGGGGGAGCAGGCAGUGUGCUCCAAGACACAGCCCAAGACAGGUGAGUCACCCCGUGACUGCGCAGUGGAAAUUGACAAGACUGCGUGGCGUGGCGGAAAAGGAUGCCAGCUUGGGGAAGCAAGUGCCCCUGGAGUACCUUCUGGGAAGGUUGGUGCAAGGACUGCCUGCCCAGGACCCAUGUUGCCACUUAACCUGACUGUCCUAUCUUUUGUCAAGAUUGUUUGCAACAACCUCCUAAUUAAGAGGCCAG